rnacentral:rRNA from 1 species
AGCGAACGCUGGCGGCAUGCCUAACACAUGCAAGUCGCACGGGGGGGCUUCGGCCUCCCAGUGGCGGACGGGUGAGGAACGCGUAGGGACCUGUCGAGGGGUGGGGGAUAACCGCGGGAAACUGCGGCUAAUACCGCAUGACGCCGCGGCGUGACAGCCGGGGCCAAAGGCGAAAGCCGCCCGCCGAGGGGCUUGCGUCCGAUUAGCUGGUUGGCGGGGUAGCGGCCCACCAAGGCGUCGAUCGGUAGCUGGUCUGAGAGGGUGAUCAGCCACACCGGGAGUGAGACACGGCCCGGACUCCUACGGGAGGCAGCAGUGGGGAAUAUUGGACGAUGGGCGCAAGCCUGAUCCAGCAAUGCCGCGUGGGUGAAGAAGGUCUUCGGAUUGUAAAGCCCUUUCGGCGGGGACGAUGGUGACGGUACCCGCAGAAGAAGCCCCGGCUAACUUCGUG